UUCGCAAUGCCCGAAAGGGUGACGAUGCGACGCCGCGUGAGCGAAGAAGGCCUUAGGGUUGUAAAGCUCUGUCGAGGGUUAUGAAAUAUAGAUGGGUUAAUACCCCAUUUAUUUGACAAAAGCCCAAAAGGAAGCCACGGCUAACUCUGUGCCAGCAGCCGCGGUAAUACAGAGGUGGCGAGCGUUGUUCGGUAUUAUUGGGCGUAAAGAGCACGUAGGUGGUUUUGUAAGUCAGGUGUGAAAGCCUUCUGUUCAAAGGAAGAACGGCAUCUGAAACUGCAGAUCUUGAGUGUAGGAGGGGAGAGUGGAACUUCUGGUGGAGCGGUGAAAUGCGUAGAUAUCAGAAGGAACGUCGGCGGCGAAAGCGACUCUCUGGCCGAUUACUGACACUGAGUGUGCGAAAGUUAGGGGAGCAAACGGGAUUAGAUACCCCGGUAGUCCUAACCGUAAACGAUGGGCACUAAGUAGAGGGGUUUU
rnacentral:rRNA from 1 species